rnacentral:rRNA from 1 species
GACGAACGCUGGCGGCGUGCUUAACACAUGCAAGUCGAACGGAAAGGCCUCUUUCGGGGGGUACUCGAGUGGCGAACGGGUGAGUAAAACGUGAGUAACCUGCCCUUGACUUUGGGAUAACUUCAGGAAACUGGGGCUAAUACAGGAUAGGAGCUCCUGCUGCAUGGUGGGGGUUGGAAAGUUUCGGCGGUUGGGGAUGGACUCGCGGCUUAUCAGCUUGUUGGUGGGGUAGUGGCUUACCAAGGCUUUGACGGGUAGCCGGCCUGAGAGGGUGACCGGCCACAUUGGGACUGAGAUACGGCCCAGACUCCUACGGGGGGCAGCAGUGGGGAAUAUUGCACAAUGGGUGGAAGCCUGAUGCAGCAACGCCGUGUGCGGGAUGACGGCCUUCGGGUUGUAAACCGCUUUCGCUCAUGACGAAGCUUUGUGUGACGGUAGUGGGUAAAGAAGCACCGGCUAACUACGUG